rnacentral:rRNA from 1 species
CUUCCCUUUAGUGCGUCUUCUUCAAUUUCCACUUUUCCGUUUGAAUUACUUCAUAGUGAUGUUUGGACAUCUCCCGUUGCGAGUAACACGGGCUAUCUAUACUACUUGGUGAUUUUAGAUGAUUAUUCUCAUUAUGUGUGGACUUUUCCCCUUCGUCGUAAAUCCGAUGCUUUAGCCACACUCACCGCCUUUUAUUCCUAUGUCACCACCCAGUUCGGUCGCCCCAUACUCGCACUCCAGACAGAUAACGGAAAAGAGUUUGACAACGUCGCUCUCCGCACGCUUCUCGCCUCUCACGGCACCAUCUUCCGUCUGACUUGUCCAUACACUUCACAGCAGAACGGCCGCGCCGAGCACAUUCUCCGCACUCUUAAUGACUGCGUUCGCACGUUACUCUUUCACUCUAACGUGCCCGCUCGGUUUUGGCCCGAUGCUCUCGCCACCGCCACUCUCUUAGUUAACAUUCGUCUGUGUCGCCCUCGGGGGAACUACGCCCCUCACCAUCUUCUCUUCGGCACACCACCGUCCUAUGAUGGUCUCCGCAUCUUCGGGUGUCUCUGUUAUCCUAGCACCGCGUCCACCACGCCACACAAGCUCGCACCAUGA